CAAGCAACCUCCAGUUCCCAACACUCCCGUGAUUGCACCUCCGAUUGCUCCUGCAAAAAGGAAGGAACGAGCUAACAUAUGGAUCACCCCGAGGUACCUUUCCCUGCUUCUUCUUUGCAGCCACCAAGCAAGAAUCUUCGAGCUGCCUGGUGAUCGCCAGAAGAGUUUGUGAGCAGUAGUUGCUGCUCGAGUUCCAAGCGCUUCUUGUAGAGGCUUUCCACGUCACUGCCGGUCAUGUACACACCACAGCCAGUUCUUCCAGCGUUGCUUGGGCAAACAAUCUGCACUCUUGCGGCCAUAGUUGUCUGUGAACACGAACUGCGUUCCGGAUGAAUCUGGAGCGGCACCACAGCCACCGGUUGCGACCACCUAGAGAUAGCUUCCAGUCGUCAGCAAGAGAAAGAUUAACGUAACAAAGGUACUUAUCUA